ACUCUAUCCGGACUACUAGCUCUAGAACUGGCUUGUCGACGGAUAUAGCGCACUUCAAAAAUAUUCUCUUUAUAAAUUUAGUACUACUCUGUACCUCAACUGCCUGCACGUUAUCGGAAGGUAAUUGGCAUAGUCCCUUAUGGCUGGCGACUAAACAGGCAAAUAAUAUUAGAUUAAUUAAUUUUAAUCACAAAUUAUGGUUCUUUACUCUUUUCGGCACAUUGAAGGCUGUCCAGAAAUUAAGGGCACAAUAAUAUUUAAAACUUACAUAAAAUAAAAACUGUUGUGCGGGCUCACGUGGUAAAAGGAAUUAAACUUAAUAAGAAAACGAAAACACUCACUUUUCAAUAAAAAUUUAGAAUAUAUAAUUUGAUUGACAUAGUUAAUAAUACAAUACACGUUAUUUAUUAAUAUUAAUACAAAUGAAUAGAAUAAUAAAAUAGAAUGACAUAGAAUGAUAUAGAAUGAUAUAGAAUGAGUGUAACUAGCGCAUACUAAACCACGACUGACUGUAGGGUACUUACAGUAGAAGUCCUUUGCCCAUUGUUGCCCUAAAACCCUUGGUCAGCACAUUCCUGUGUUCGACGACAGUCGGACGACCAUGUAUUCUAUACUCUACUCAAUUAUAAAAUAAUAUUCAGGGGUUCUUAACAAAACUAUAUUUAUUUCUUAUAAGGACAUUAGGUAACAAUAAAAAUAAAUACUAUUUAUUUGCGGGUAUAAUAUUGAUAAAUCAUCCAAAACAAUGUUCACCAUUUAGGAUGAUAUAAAAAAAACGAUGUCGUAGGGACAAAAUAUUUACUUAUGCUGACGCAGAUUCCAUGUAAGAGGAUAUUGACCAUGAGCUGCAAGCGUCGUCAGAGAGGGUUGAGAGAGAGAUGAUAGAGUCCCCGAUUUUACGAGAAAAAUGGCUUUUUAUAUGCCGGAUAAAGAAAGCCAGCGAUCUCUAUUGAAAUUUCUGAGAUAUUGGAUAAUUAUUUGUGAUAGAAACACUAAUGUGGGUGUAGUUAAUGAAUUGUAGGGGACUGGUUUGAAACAGUUGUUAAUAAAAUGGUUAUUUUGUUUACCCUAAAAGGGAAACAUUCCUUAGAUGAUUUUUUUGUUUUAUUCAUUUAUAUGUGAUAUUUUGUACAUGUGUUAAGAGGUAAUAUCCACCAAUUUUUUUUUCAUUUUUUUUUUUAUUGGCUUAAAUCAUGCUAAAACUAUCCUAGAAUCAAAAUCUUCAACGCCCAAGUACUGAUCUAAACUCAAAAUUCGUUUAAAUCAAUUUUUUCCGAACAACUUUUAUGCUCCAAAAUGACAUUUUUCGCUUAUUUUUGCGAUGCUUGUUUUUUUUUAAUUUCGCGGCUUUGUAAAUUAGUAGAAGUUACCUAUGAUCGAUAUCUUUUUUUGAAUAUGAAGUAUAGAAUUUCGAUCGUUACAGCGACUGUACAGCACGUGUUUACUCACAAUUUCCCUUUGUUUAGUCGAUCAGCCGUUCUAGUUGUGUACGUUCUUAGUUUGAGUUUUCUAUACUUUUUAACUGUGAAUUAUAUUAAAAAGUACUUAAUUAUGAGUAACAAGUUGUACAGUGGCCACAAAGGCAGUAAAACAAGAAGUACCAGAACAACCCGGAGUAAAAUUAGUAACCGACACCCGCCUAACCGCUAUGCGUUCGAAGGCUAUUCGAAAUAAGGCGAAAAAAUUAAAAACUUUUGAUUUAAAUCGUGAUUGCGAUGUUGAUAGGGAUUUCGGUUACUGUUUCAUACGUUUUUUUUCGCUGUAUUUACUGCUCUUUCUAAAUUAUUAGUAUGUAAAAAAUGUAAUAGUGAUGUGCGGUUUUCACAGUCGAGCAAGCGUGAACUAGGCUUCAAGAUUUUUGUGUCUUGUUCGAACUGCGGUGAUGCCGAUAUUUUUAACUGUCCUCUAAUACAUGAUCGUGCUUAUGAGAUCAAUUGCCGUAUUAUUUUUGCUAUGCGCGUCAUUGGCAUAGGCAUCAACGGGGUAAAAAAGUUCUGUGCGAUGAUGGAUCUCGCAAAGCCUGUUCUUCAAACAACUUACAGUAUGAUCAUUUCCAAUAUUGGCACUGUUACUUCAUCUGUUAAAAUUAUUUCUAUGAAAAAAUCAGCUAUUGAAGAGAAAGAACGUUCUAUUGAACGAGGUGAAGAAGGCGGUCUUACGGUGUCAGGCAAUGGAUCUUGGCGUAAGAGGGGGUUUUCAUCUUUGUUUGGAUUAGUUACUUUGAUUGGUUGGCACACUGGCAAGGUAUUAGAUGUGUGUGUAAAAUCAAAGUACUGUAAAGUGUGUGAAUAUUGGUAAAAAAAAGAAGGUACUGCUGAGUACGAGGAGGUGUACCCUUCGCACAAAGAGAGUGUUCUUGGUGUUCUUGACAGCACAGUAAAGCGCUUGGUACUCUUGCAACGUACGAGCACAAGAGUCCAAUGCAUGAGGAUGUUUUCAAGGCGAUACAACCCAUGUAUAAAGAACUCAGCUCCGACAAAUUUCAGUCACGCUGCUUGGGUGCGUAUUCUCAAAAUAGUAACGAGUAUUUCAAUGCUGUAGUGUGGUUAAUUGCUCCAAAAACUAUAUCUUGCGAUAAGACUAUAGUUGAUAUUGCGACUGAUGUAGCCGUUAUUACCUUCAACGAAGGUUGAUCGGGUAUGUUUGCCAUUUAUGAUGCUCUUGGGUUAACUGUUGGACCGAACAUGUACGAGUUUUGCGUAAAGUCGCUGAUCAUCGUAUGUCCGAUAUCGCGAAAGAAGCUAGGAGCAGCCUUACAUCAGACAAAAAAAAGGAAGAAGAGGAAAAUAAGGACCAGGAAAGACAACUUUACAGCGCAGGGAUAGCUGACUAAAGGAAAAUCCAUUUUCACAACAGGAUAUACUUGAACUUCAAAAUAUUUAUUCACUAUUUCCGAAUGACGGUAAAGCUAUUACAAAGUUAGAUUUCGAAGAUUUAUUUGGUACAAUAAAUCACUUUAAGACCAUUCAAAAAAAAGGCCAGACGAUUGAUUUUAUUAAAUUCAUAUUCUACACGUGUAAAAAAUUAUGGAAAAACAAUCAACAUAAAACAAUUGGUGAUAUUUUUAAACUAUUUGAUAAAGAUAAUGACAAUUAUAUCGGACAUAAUGAUUUAUAUGAAAGAAUGAAGGAGUUUACUAACAUAUGUAUACUAGAUAUACAUCUAGAGCAACUAUUCAAUAUUGUCGAAUUAAAAGAAAACAAAUUAAUCACUAUACAAGAGUUCCGUAAUCUAAUGAAUCGCUAUCAAAAUAAGAAGUUAUGAAUAAUUAUACAAUACUAUUGUGUACAAUUUUGUAUAUUACAAAAUAAAUGAUGUAGUACUAUAAUAUUUGAUGUAUUUUAAUCUUAAUUUGUCUAUUAUACGAGUAAAACAACUUAUUUGUGUCUUGCAAAUUCUAUCGUUAAAAUCUGGUCACCGAUUGUCUCUCCCAUCACUGGUCUAGUCAAUCCGUCAGGAUAGCGGUUACACACUAAAAAAUCAUAGUCUCUUGCAUAGUAAAAUGAAUAAGAAGUAUGCUCGAUCACAGUCCGCAUUUUGUCGUAGUACACGCAAGUGCAUCGCCUUAUGUUUUUGCGCAUUCGUAUACGAUCGGUGAAAUACGACCGCUGCCGAAUGCACUUUAAAAUCGCGCGAUUUUUAAAUUGAUAAUUCUGAUAUAAUAUAUAUGAUAGACAU